rnacentral:rRNA from 1 species
ACUCCUACGGGAGGCAGCAGUGGGAAUCUUAGACAAUGGGCGCAAGCCUGAUCUAGCCAUGCCGCGUGAGCGAUGAAGGCCUUAGGGUUGUAAAGCUCUUUCAGCUGGGAAGAUAAUGACGGUACCAGCAGAAGAAGCCCGCUGACUCAGCUGCCAGCAGCCGCGGUAAUACGGAGGGGCGUAGCGUUAUCCGGAAUCAUUGGGUUUAAAGGGUCCGUAGGUGGAUGAUUAAGUCAGAGGUGAAAUCCUGCAGCUCAACUGUAGAAUUGCCUUUGAUACUGGUUGUCUUGAAUUAUUGUGAAGUAGUUAGAAUAUGUGGUGUAGCGGUGAAAUGCAUAGAUAUCACAUAGAAUACCGAUUGCGAAGGCAGAUUACUAACAAUACAUUGACACUGAUGGACGAAAGCGUGGGGAGCGAACAGGAUUAGAUACCCUGUAGGCUCUG